AGUGAACGCUGGCGGUAGGCCUAACACAUGCAAGUCGAACGGCAGCACAGUAAGAGCUUGCUCUUACGGGUGGCGAGUGGCGGACGGGUGAGGAAUACAUCGGAAUCUACUUUUUCGUGGGGGAUAACGUAGGGAGACUUACGCUAAUACCACAUACGACCUACGGGUGAAAUCAGGGGAUCUUCGGACCUUUCGCGAUUGAAUGAGCCGAUGUCGGAUUAGCUAGUUGGCGGGGUAAAGGCCCACCAAGGCGACGAUCCGUAGCUGGUCUGAGAGGAUGAUCGGCCACACUGGAACUGAGACACGGUCCAGACUCCUACGGGAGGCAGCAGUGGGGAAUAUUGGACAAUGGGCGCAAGCCUGAUCCAGCCAUACCGCGUGGGUGAAGAAGGCCUUCGGGUUGUAAAGCCCUUUUGUUGGGAAAGAAAAGCAGCAGGUUAAUACCCCGCUGUUCUGACGGUACCCAAAGAAUAAGCACCGGCUAACUUCGUG
rnacentral:rRNA from 1 species